AGCGAACGCUGGCGGCAGGCCUAACACAUGCAAGUCGAACGAACUCUUCGGAGUUAGUGGCGGACGGGUGAGUAACACGUGGGAACGUGCCCUUAGGUUCGGAAUAACUCAGGGAAACUUGUGCUAAUACCGAAUGUGCCCUUCGGGGGAAAGAUUUAUCGCCUUUAGAGCGGCCCGCGUCUGAUUAGCUAGUUGGUGAGGUAAAGGCUCACCAAGGCGACGAUCAGUAGCUGGUCUGAGAGGAUGAUCAGCCACAUUGGGACUGAGACACGGCCCAAACUCCUACGGAAGGCAGCAGAGGGGAAUCUUGCGCAAUGGGCGAAAGCCUGACGCAGCCAUGCCGCGUGAAUGAUGAAGGUCUUAGGAUUGUAAAAUUCUUUCACCGGGGACGAUAAUGACGGUACCCGGAGAAGAAGCCCCGGCUAACUUCGUG
rnacentral:rRNA from 1 species